UGACCCAUUGAAAAAAGGCCAUACGGACAGCCAGGUCAAAUGCCGA
rfam:Eubacterium dolichum CAG:375 genomic scaffold, scf178